rnacentral:rRNA from 1 species
AUUGAACGCUGGCGGCAUGCCUUACACAUGCAAGUCGAACGGCAGGCACGGGAGCAAUCCUGGUGGCGAGUGGCGAACGGGUGAGUAAUAUAUCGGAACGUGCCCAGUCGUGGGGAUAACGUAGCGAAAGCUACGCUAAUACCGCAUACGAUCUAUGGAUGAAAGCGGGGGAUCGCAAGACCUCGCGCGAUUGGAGCGGCCGAUAUCAGAUUAGGUAGUUGGUGAGGUAAAGGCUCACCAAGCCGACGAUCUGUAGCUGGUCUGAGAGGACGACCAGCCACACUGGGACUGAGACACGGCCCAGACUCCUACGGGAGGCAGCAGUGGGGAAUUUUUGGACAAUGGGCGCAAGCCUGAUCCAGCAAUGCCGCGUGCAGGAUGAAGGCCUCGGUGUAAC